CAUGUACAUAAUCUUUCAUUUCUACUUAAAUAUUUUUCUGGUUCUGUUGACUUCCCUUUCUUUAUUGUCAUAAAUCAUUAUACAUUUUAUUGUUUAAAGGGUUUAAUCCAGUUUUUCUCAAUUUUGUGUUCCUCAUAUCUAGCUAAUCACUAAAAAAACUAUAUGAUGAUGCUUAAUCUAUCAUUUCUUUAACCUGUAUGUUUUAUAACUUGGGUACUUUUUUCUUUUCCUAAUUAUGUUUUAUUUGUUUAAUUUAUUUAAUUGUGUUAAUAAUUAAAAAUUAUGUAAAAAAAAAAAAAAUAAACUGGAAAUCUUUAAUAUCAAUAAUCCAAAUAUUAAGGGUUUUCUGAAAGUCAAGCGUCUGGAAUGUGUUGGUUAUAUGUGGAGAGCCACCAAGGAAAGUACAUUUCGGUGAAUAAAUUAACUGAUUAGUAUCCCAGAAGACGAUUUCGGUAACUUAGGCAAGACAGAGUGAACGAAGACAUAAUAAUGUCAGACGAAACAGCAAACUUUAAGAAUGCAAUGAAAAGAAGCUGUGAAAGGCCUUGUUGAAUGGCCAGUUAAGCAAAAAAAAUUAAAUAAUAAUUAUGUAUUAGAUUAUCUACUUAUUAUGUUAUUAAUAUAAAUAUUAUGCAGUGAUGUGAAGAUAUAUACAAUAUAUGC